GUGAUCGUCUCCUUUAGUUUCUGUGGUGAAGCUUAUCUGAAUAUAUCUCUUUACUUAAUUCCCAUUUUCUCCUAAUUACUAAAUUUAGAAAAAAUGGAGUUUCCUUGGUAUUCUGUUGUUGUUCCUCUGAUUGUUUUCCUUUUCUUUCUUCAUAACUGCUUAUUUACCAUUUUUAAUACGAGUAACAAAAAAUUACCACCAUCUCCAAGAAAGCUCCCAAUCAUAGGAAAUUUGUAUCAACUUGGGUUGCAUCCUCACCGUUCUCUCUAUAAACUAUCGAAAAAAUAUGGUCCAGUCAUGCUACUUCACUU
rnacentral:misc_RNA from 1 species